ACUAGUGUAGAAAAGUUUAGCAUAAAUAAAAUAUUUCUAGCAUUGAGUUAAUUUUUUUAAAAAAAUUUGGUCAUAACAAAAAUAUGUUAGAUUUGAGAGAAAAAUGUUUAUUAGUUACACGAAGUAUAAACCAACACAUCGUCACACGUACAUAUUUUAAAAAUGUCUCGUUAGCUACACGAAGUAUUGAUAUCACAUACGGACAUACACGAACAAACAUAAGUCAUGUUGCCAACACCAUAAUCAUCCUACUUUGACCAGAACCGGCAUUGACCAGUGUUGACCGGUGUUAACCGAUGUUAACCAACAUUGACCGAUACAUUCUACUUUGAUCAGAACCGGCAUUGACCAGUGUUGACCGGUGUUGACCGAUGUUGAAACUAGACACGGACCACGGAGCAAAA
rnacentral:sRNA from 1 species